rnacentral:rRNA from 1 species
GGCUCAGGAUGAACGCUAGCUACAGGCUUAACACAUGCAAGUCGAGGGGCAGCAUGACAAUAGCUUGCUAUUGUCGAUGGCGACCGGCGCACGGGUGAGUAACGCGUAUCCAACCUUCCCGUUGCUAGGGGAUAACCUUGCGAAAGUAAGACUAAUACCCGAUGAUAUCCCUAGAAGACAUCUGAAAGGGAUUAAAGAUUUAUCGGUGAUGGAUGGGGAUGCGUCCGAUUAGCUUGACGGCGGGGUAACGGCCCACCGAGACGACGAUCAGUAGGGGUUCUGAGAGGAAAGUCCCCCACAUUGGAACUGAGACACGGUCCAAACUCCUACGGGAGGCAGCAGUGAGGAAUAUUGGUCAAUGGGCGAGAGCCUGAACCAGCCAAGUAGCGUGCAGGAUGACGGCCCUAUGGGUUGUAAACUGCUUUUAUAAGGGAAUAAAGUGAGCCUCGUGAGGCUUUUUGCAUGUACCUUAUGAAUAAGGACCGGCUAAUUCCGUG